rnacentral:rRNA from 1 species
UAGUCUAACUCUUACGCAAGUCGCAGAGUUUUUCGGUGCGUCUGGUGUCGCAAGGCAUCGCGUACCGAGCGUAAACGAAACUCGAUUGCGGCGAAAUGAAAGUAAAUUAGGCCGGAACCGGUCUAUUCUUAAUACAGGCCGGCGCACGAGCCCACCCGUCUGGCGUCGUAAAAGGGGCGUCGAGGACGGAGUGUGAGCGUAAAAGUUGGUACCCGAAAGAUGGUGAUCUAUGCCGGGGCAGGGUGAAGCCAGAGGAAACUCUGGUGAAAGCCCGCCGCGAUUCUGACGUGCAAAUCGAUCGUCUGAUCUUGGCAUAGGGGCGAAAGACUAAUCGAACCAUCUAGUAGCUGGUUCCUUUCGAAGUUUCCCUCAGGAUAGCUGGCACGUAUGCAAAGGGAAUCUCAUCCAGUCGAGCGAAUGAUUAGAGGCCUUGGGGCCGAAACGAUCUCAACCUAUUCUCAAACUCACAAUGGGUGAAAAAGGCCGGUCGUCCUAAACGCGACCGGCAAUCGAUCCCCACGUGCCCAGUGGGCUAGUUUUGGUAAGCAGAACUGGCGAUGUGGGAUGAACCGAAAGCCGAGUUACGGUGUCCGAUUACACGCUCAUGAGAUCCCACAAAAGGUGUUGGUUGCUUUAGACAGCAGGACGGUGGCCAUGGAAGUUGGAAUCCGCUAAGGAGUGUGU